rnacentral:rRNA from 1 species
UACGUAGGGUGCGAGCGUUAAUCGGAAUUACUGGGCGUAAAGCGUGCGCAGGCGGUUCGCCAAGUCAGGGGUGAAAUCCCCGGGCUUAACCUGGGAAUUGCGCUUGAAACUAGCGGGCUUGAGUGCGGCAGAGGGGGGUGGAAUUCCACGUGUAGCAGUGAAAUGCGUAGAGAUGUGGAGGAACACCGAUGGCGAAGGCAGCCCCCUGGGUCGACACUGACGCUCAUGCACGAAAGCGUGGGGAGCAAACAGG